rnacentral:rRNA from 1 species
GAUGAACGCUAGCGGCAGGCUUAAUACAUGCAAGUCGAGGGGCAGCGCAGUGUAGCAAUACAUGGGCGGCGACCGGCAAACGGGUGCGGAACACGUACGCAACCUUCCUUUAAGUGGGGGAUAGCCCAGGGAAACUUGGAUUAAUACCCCGUAAUAUUAUGAAGUGGCAUCACUUUAUACUUAUAGCUCCGGCGCUUAAAGAUGGGCGUGCGACUGAUUAGGUAGUUGGCGGGGUAACGGCCCACCAAGCCUGCGAUCAGGAACUGGUGUGAGGACACGACCAGGCACACGGGCACUGGGACACGGGCCCGACUCCUACGGGAGGCAGCAGUAAGGAAUAUUGGUCAAUGGACGCAAGUCUGAACCAGCCAUGCCGCGUGGAGGAUGAAGGUCCUCUGGAUUGUAAACUUCUUUUAUUUGGGAAGAAACCCACUGUUUCUACGGUGGUUGACGGUACCAGAUGAAUAAGCACCGGCUAACUCCGUGCCAGCAGCCGCGGUAA